rnacentral:pre_miRNA from 1 species
AGCUUUUCGAAUCCGUGCAGAGUUUGUCAGACACUAACCCAUUAGGGCUGAUCAGACUUCCAAGAUAUGUGAAGUU